rnacentral:tRNA from 1 species
GCAGGUAAGAGCAGUUCGGCUACCGGCCUGUAAACCGUCGGCUAAGCCUUCCCUGGUUCGAAUCCAGGACCUGCCG